UACGUAGGGGGCAAGCGUUAUCCGGAUUUACUGGGUGUAAAGGGAGCGUAGACGGACUGGCAAGUCUGAUGUGAAAGGCGGGGGCUCAACCCCUGGACUGCAUUGGAAACUGUUAGUCUUGAGUGCCGGAGAGGUAAGCGGAAUUCCUAGUGUAGCGGUGAAAUGCGUAGAUAUUAGGAGGAACACCAGUGGCGAAGGCGGCUUACUGGACGGUAACUGACGUUGAAGCUCGAAAGCGUGGGGAGCAAACAGG
rnacentral:rRNA from 1 species